rnacentral:rRNA from 1 species
GACGAACCGUGCGAACGUUAUUCGGAAUCACUGGGCUUAAAGGGCGCGUAGGCGGGCCGAAAAGCCAGGGGUGAAAUCCUCCAGCCCAACUGGAGAAGCGCCUUUGGAACUGGCGGCCUCGAGGGGUGCAGGGGCAUGCGGAACUCAGGGUGGAGCGGUGAAAUGCGUAGAUAUGACUUAGAACACCAAUUGCGAAGGCAGCUUGCUAAACAAAUAUUGACGCUGAGGCACGAAAGCGUGGGGAGCAAACAGG